rnacentral:tRNA from 1 species
GCCUUAAUAGCUUAAUGUAAAGCAUUGGUCUUGUAAACCAAAGAUUGAGGAUUAAAUCUUCUUAAGGCU